UGUGAUACGAAGAGUAAGCCAUUCCUGGGGAUUAUCGCAUAGCUUUAGCUAACUAGUGACUCCCAGAUAUCAGCCCACCUGUCUCAGCUCUGGGAUUAAAAGUGUGCACCACUCUGUCCCACCUUCCUCUUCUAACAAUGAGUCUCCAAAGUUGUUUUGUUUCAUUUCGUUUUGUGGGUAUUCUAAGUUUCUGGGCUAAUAUCCACUUACCAGUGAGUGCAUAUCAAGUGACUUCUUUUGUGAUUGGGUUACCUCACUCAGGAUGAUAUCCUCCAGAUACAUCCAUUUUGUUUUAAUUUUCUUUUUUUUUUAAGAUUUAUUUAUUUAUUAUAUGUAAGUACACUCCUCAAACGCCUGACUUCAAAAGAGAAAAAGCACCAAGUCUUCAGGUUUCACAGGGCUUCCUACUAACAGGACAGGCCCCAAAGCUGAGCUCUGCAAACUCACCCAACCUCACUCCUCAACACGGAACACCAGAAAACCGCCACUGGACCAGCGGAACUGCGGAAGGAAGAGGCUGCCACGUGCUUGUGUCUUGGACACUAUAUAGGAAUCUAUAAGAUGUUGGUCCUUGAAAGUAUGCACCAGUGGUCUGCAAAGAUCAUGUCUCCUGGACCCCUGGUUCCUGUCGAAGUUACCGCCCCCAUAGCCCCCCCCCCCCUCUCAAGAGAGGCUUGUGGCUAUCAGUCACGUAGACAAUGUUCCAAGCUUCUGGCAUUCUGGCUAGACUCCUUCCCACAGUUACCUAGCAACAGCAAGAUAGCCAGCCCACUAUAAGAGGGUCUGCUUGGCCCCUCCUUUCUCUCUCUAAGCUUUUACCUCUCUUACUCUGAUUAUUAGAUAACCUCUCUCUCUCCCUCUCUCUCUCUCUCCAUGUGACCAUGGCCUGUCUCUCUCUCUUUUUACUUUCUCUCCUUUCUCCCUGCUUUUCUACAAUAAAGCUCUAAAACCAUGGACCGUCUCUGUUCAUCAAGGCCCGCUGAGCUUGAACAAUGGGGAUAGGCUUUCUCCUAACAAGCUGAGUCUAACCUCCCGCCAGAAGGCCUUCCUACACUGCAGCCACAGACUGGACUAAGGACUCUUGCCUGUGUGGGAGCCACUCAGUGCCCCCCUCUAACUCUGCCCUCUCUUCCCUUAUCUCUGGGCCAAGUGCUGCCCCCUGGGCCCCUAUUCUGUUCUCUGCUCC
rnacentral:lncRNA from 1 species